GUAGAUGGCCCAUCAGAUGUUUGUUUAUGCAUCUCAUGGGGGGCAGAGUUCUACAAGAAAUGGUGGCCGCAAACCACAAUUCCAACAUUUAAGAUCGCAGCCUCCGAGUGCGUGCAGAAGGUCAGAGAGGGUGAACAAAUAUGUCUAGUAAGUUAGGAUGAAGCUUUCAUGGCCAUUGUCAGCAAGGGAGGCACUUGUACAUUUCUUUGUAUUUGAGUACAUUCAAGAUGGUCUGAUAGUAGUGCUUCUAAAUUCGAUCUCUGAUGUAGAUACCGUUGAUAGAAGCACUCAUGGGUACUCGAAAGACGGAAUACCACUCCCGCAGGAUGUAGUACGAAUUGACGUGGUGGGAGGUUUUGCUAUCCAGAAAGUUACUGAUAAUCGUAGCUACUUCAGGACUAUAGCAAAUAUGGAUAUCAAACUGGACUUUGUUCCUCCUUCAUUCAUAAAUUUCAUUUCACGGCAGCUCGUAGGUGCUGGCUUCAAGCUUUAUAAAAAGGAAGUAGCUUCGGUUGCCAAAGGUGACGAAGAUUUCAGCAAUGCUCUAAAAGAUCCACUAUAUGAUCGGAUACGAAAAGCACUUUAUUCAGAUAGUUUACCUGAUGACAAUGGGGCAUUAGAAUUACAAGACCUCAAGGAAGAAACACAUGCUAGUCUCGAUGAAGGGGCAAGAGAUAGCAAUGGGGCUUCGGGACUGCAAAAGGACUUCAAGAAAGAUGCAUGUCUCGGAGUUGAUGAACGGACAGGAGAUGGAAAUGGUGCUUUAGAGCUACAAGACUCGAUAAAAGACGCCCAUGUUCAUCCAGAUCACGUAACAAGAAAGAAUGUUGAAGAUAAAAAAGGUCAUAGUGAAAUUGAGGAAAUUAAUGAAGACACAAGUGAAAUGAUUGAAAGUUUAGAUGAGAAUGACGAGAAAGUCAGGGAUUCUCCAGAUAAUCGACUUGUAGAUGUGCCUGCCAACAACAAGAUGGUCGUGAUUAGAUCUGAGGUUCGACAAGCUCUGGGAACUUUGGAGAAGGCUAUUUCUAUCAUAAGGGAUUUUGGAUAUAAUUUGGAAAUUAGAUCUGUUUCCGGAAACACUACUGUUAAGUCUUUAGGUGUAGCAGAGGAUGGACGGAAAGACUCAAAAUCAUCAGAAACUGAUCAAAUUCAUGGAACUCGCAUAGCUUGCGCUGAAUCACCCGGAAAAGAAUUAUCAGAGGCGACACGUUACGAACACAGGAACAGCUCCGCUAGUCAUGGUUCCAGGCGUAUAAGUUCUAGUUUGUGCACGAGGGAAGCUAACCACAACACGAAGAUUGCUCCUGCAUCACCGGAUGAUUAUGUUGAAAUAAUCUUAGGCGAGACACAACACGUUGCUGUACAUGUAGACCAAAUGAAGGAAGAAAAUGUCGCGUCUAUCCAUGGAAAAAAGAAUGGUAUAAGAAAACGAAAACAAAAACGAAAACUACCAUUUUACUGCUGCUUGAAUUUCAAACCAGGACAAGUCAAGAGUUAAAAAGAGCAUUUUUGUUCACAGGAGAAUGCAGCUAUAGUUUACUUGUUACUACAGAUGUAAAAUUCUUAUGUAAUUUAAGGGUUAAUACCAGAGUGUGUGUUCUGUGUACCUGUGUUGCUCGAACCUUCCAAAGAUGUUGUAGCAUCUGCGUCAGAUCCUUCAAAAUUUGCAUAUCUUUUGUAGGAUUAGACAUAUUUUUUUCGUAAGAGUCCGAGCAAUAUAGUUUUG
rnacentral:misc_RNA from 1 species